GUAAGAGGUGUUUGGUUCCGUGGAGCUAUUAAGUACGAGGAGGGGUUGUACCUGGAUCGUUACUUUCCGAUGAAAAUGUGUUACUGAAGAGAAUUCAGCUCAGCUCUCUGUGUAUGAGCUAUAUAUUACUCUGCAUGUUAGAGAGUAAAGAAGAUCUGUAGGUGGCCUUGAUUUCUAACUGGGUUUUGAAGGUGAUGGGAAUGGAAGAUGAGGAUGUUUAGUUUUUAGAUGAAGGCAGCUGGUCUGAAUCUUCAGUGAAAGAUUUAAACUUCAACCCACAAAUGGAUUGAAAUAGAGGUUGCAGCCCAUUUUGGCCGCAAUGUUAAAACCUUUAGUUCCUGGGCUGCUGUUGCUUUCUUUAUUCCUAAUAUCAGUAUCUGCAAACGACAAUGGCUUUUCCCGGUGUAAUUGUGAUGAUGAGGCCAGUUUAUGGAGCAUAGAGAACAUUCUAGAUUGCCAAAAAGUAAGCGAUUUCUUGAUUGCUGUGGCCUAUUUUUCAAUCCCUAUUGAGCUGCUAUACUUUGUUAGCUGCUCAAAUGUCCCGUUCAAAUGGGUCCUCUUUGAGUUCAUUGCCUUCAUUGUCCUUUGUGGAUUGACUCAUUUGCUCAAUGGCUGGACUUAUGGCCCUCAUCCAUUUCAGCUCAUGCUUGCCCUUACUGUCUUUAAGAUUUUAACAGCCUUGGUCUCAUGUGCCACUGCUAUUACACUCUUCACCCUCAUUCCUCUGCUUCUUAAAGUGAAGGUAAGAGAAUUCAUGUUGAA
rnacentral:misc_RNA from 1 species